AGUCGCGGAUGCACACUCUCGAGAGGACCCGGCGGCCAGGCACGCACCCGGGCAGAGAUGAGGCUGAGUCACGCACAGGAAGGAACGGGUAGCUGGUGGACAGCAAGAUGUGGAGGCUCAGUGCUGCUAAACCCCCAGCACUCUGCUACAGCCAAACUGAAUGCCAUUUGUUGAAUGAGCAAAGAAAUGAACGAAAGAAAAAGCGACGAUCUUUUCCAUUUCAUCUGACCACCGACAGUAUUGCUCCAAAGUAGUUUGACUCCAUCCUUCCUUUUGCACAAGGCCCCACUGCUCCCUCCCAAACAGAUGACCUGGAGACCAGGAAAGAAUUCUUGUCAAGCUCCCAGACAAAGGUUGCUCAAACAGCCAAUACCCCUUGCCCCGAGAGACCACCAAUCUGUCUCCAUCUGCUGACUGCUGGGCUUCUUCCAAAUCCUUGAGCCUGAAGUCCACUGACCUGGGGGAAUGACCCACAAGACAGAGAGAAGUGGAGGGACAUCAAGAAUGAUGGGCCCAG
ensembl:lncRNA novel transcript, antisense to GPATCH2L